rnacentral:rRNA from 1 species
GCUCAGGACGAACGCUGGCGGCGUGCCUAAUACAUGCAAGUCGAGCGGACAGAUGGGAGCUUGCUCCCUGAAGUCAGCGGCGGACGGGUGAGUAACACGUGGGCAACCUGCCUGUAAGACUGGGAUAACUCCGGGAAACCGGGGCUAAUACCGGAUAAUUCUUUYCCUCACAUGARGGAAAGCUGAAAGAUGGUUUCGGCUAUCACUUACAGAUGGGCCCGCGGCGCAUUAGCUAGUUGGUGAGGUAACGGCUCACCAAGGCAACGAUGCGUAGCCGACCUGAGAGGGUGAUCGGCCACACUGGGACUGAGACACGGCCCAGACUCCUACGGGAGGCAGCAGUAGGGAAUCUUCCGCAAUGGACGAAAGUCUGACGGAGCAACGCCGCGUGAGUGAUGAAGGUUUUCGGAUCGUAAAACUCUGUUGUUAGGGAAGAACAAGU